AGUCUAGCCUGCUCACUGAUAAUAAUAUUAAAUAGCCGCGGUAUCUUGACCGUGCAAAGGUAGCAUAAUCAUUAGUUCUUUAAUUGGGAACUCGUAUGAAUGGUUGGACAAAGGGAAGACUGUCUCUUUUAUUAAGAUUGAAUUUAACUUUUAAGUGAAAAGGCUUAAAUUUUUCAAGGGGACGAUAAGACCCUAUAAAGCUUUAUAAGCUUAAAGAAAUUAGGUAUAUUUAUAUAGGUGUGACUUCUUGAUAGUUUAUUUGGUUGGGGCGACAAAAGUAUAAUAUAAAUAACUGCUUGUAUGAGUUACAAAUAUAGAUGAUUAUAUUGUUAUUAGUUGAUCCUUUAUAAAGAUUCAAAGAUCAAGUUACUUUAGGGAUAACAGCGUUAUUCUUCCUGAGAGUCCUUAUCAAAGGAAGAGUUUGCGACCUCGAUGUUGAAUUAAAAUGUCUUUAUAGUGCAGCAGCUUUAAAAGAAGGUCUGUUCGACCUUUAAUAUUUUACAUGAUUUGAGUUCAGACCGGCGAGAGCCAGGUCGGUUUCUAUCUCUUGAUAAUAAAAACUUACCUUAGUACGAAAGGAUUAGGUAAGUAAAAGUGUUUUUCUUUGCUGAAAU
rnacentral:rRNA from 1 species